CCUACGGGAGGCAGCAGUGGGGAAUUUUGGACAAUGGGCGCAAGCCUGAUCCAGCCAUGCCGCGUGUGGGAAGAAGGCCUUCGGGUUGUAAACCACUUUUGUCAGGGAAGAAACGGUCUGAACUAAUACUUUGGACUAAUGACGGUACCUGAAGAAUAAGCACCGGCUAACUACGUGCCAGCAGCCGCGGUAAUACGUAGGGUGCAAGCGUUAAUCGGAAUUACUGGGCGUAAAGCGUGCGCAGGCGGCUUUGCAAGACAGAUGUGAAAUCCCCGGGCUCAACCUGGGAACUGCAUUUGUGACUGCAUGGCUAGAGUACGGUAGAGGGGGAUGGAAUUCCGCGUGUAGCAGUGAAAUGCGUAGAUAUGCGGAGGAACACCGAUGGCGAAGGCAAUCCCCUGGACCUGUACUGACGCUCAUGCACGAAAGCGUGGGGAGCAAACAGGAUUAGAUACCCUGGUAGUCCACGCCCUAAACGAUGUCAACUGGUUGUUGGGAGGGUUUCUUCUCAGUAACGAAGCUAACGCGUGAAGUUGACCGCCUGGGGAGUACGGCCGCAAGGUUGAAACUUAAGGAAUUGACGG
rnacentral:rRNA from 1 species